CCUGCCCCUAGAGGUGUUGCAGGUGUGGCUGCUGUGUCACAUGUGUGUCAGUAGGUGGCAGAGAGGAGAGAGACUAUGUCUGCUCAGUGUUCUGACCUAAGAACAUUUAGUAGCCUAACAGU
ensembl:snoRNA LOC120093441 small nucleolar RNA SNORA17